rnacentral:rRNA from 1 species
AGAGUGAACGCUGGCGGCAGGCCUAACACAUGCAAGUCGAACGGCAGCACAGGAGAGCUUGCUCUCUGGGUGGCGAGUGGCGGACGGGUGAGGAAUACAUCGGAAUCUGCCUAUUUGUGGGGGAUAACGUAGGGAAACUUACGCUAAUACCGCAUACGACCUACGGGUGAAAGCGGAGGACCUUCGGGCUUCGCGCAGAUAGAUGAGCCGAUGUCGGAUUAGCUAGUUGGUGGGGUAAAGGCCCACCAAGGCGACGAUCCGUAGCUGGUCUGAGAGGAUGAUCAGCCACACUGGAACUGAGACACGGUCCAGACUCCUACGGGAGGCAGCAGGUGGGGAAUAUUGGACAAUGGGCGACGAAGCCUGAUCCAGCCCAUCGCCGCGUGAGUGAAGAAGGCCUUAGGUUGUAAACUGUCUUUUGUACGGAACGAAACGGUUCUACUCUAAUAACGAGGGACUAAGUGAACGUACGGUAAG